rnacentral:rRNA from 1 species
ACGACUACAUAUCAGGCAUAUCAAUAAGCGGAGGAAAAGAAACUAACAAGGAUUCCCUUAGUAACGGCGAGUGAAGCGGGAAGAGCUCAAAUUUGAAAUCUUCAAGGUUCUACCUUGACGAAUUGUAGUUUAAAGAAGUGUUUUCUGUUAGAUGAGUAGCAAAAGUUCCUUGGAAUGGGACAUCAUAGAGGGUGAGAAUCCCGUAUUUGGUUAUUCAUUCUAGCUUUGUGAUACACUUUCAAAGAGUCGGAUUGUUUGGGAAUGCAGUCCAAAAUGGGUGGUAAAUUUCAUCUAAAGCUAAAUAUUGGCGAGAGACCGAUAGCGAACAAGUACCGUGAGGGAAAGAUGAAAAGAACUUUGAAAAGAGAGUUAAGCAGUACGUGAAAUUGUCAAAAGGGAAGCGUUUGACACCAGUGUUGUUUUUCCGAAAAUCAAUUACGAAUGGCUUGAUUUUGUGUUGUAUUGACCUUAUCAGCUUUCUUCACUUUUUUCGAGUCUUUCUUAAUGCACUUUUCGGUUAACAAGUCAACAUCAAUUUCUUUUGUUGUAAAAGAGUAUUCGGAAGGUGGCUUUCUUUUCGGAGAAAGUGUUUAUAGCCCUAUACUUCUACAAUCGGAGAGAUUGAGGUCUGCAGCGUAGAUCCUUCGGGGUUAGAUACAUUUGUGCUAAGUUGUAGCUUUUCAUAGACAACUUGUUGACUAUGUUUAGUCAUGCGGCUUACUCGCUUAUGCUAUUUUACCUACGCUUAGGAUGUUGAGUAGCGACAUACGCAC